UCUAGGUGUGGUGGCGCAUGGCUGCAGUCCCAGAUACUUGGGAGGCUGAGGUGGGAAGGAUCACUUGAGCCCAGGAGUUUUGAGACCAGUCUGGGCAACAUAGCUAGACCCUGUCUCAA
rnacentral:sRNA from 1 species